CGAAUCGACACAGGCGCUCGUUCCGUUGACUGUGUUGCUCUUUUUUGUGUUUCAUCGCUGUGAUUGUCUUGUCGAGCCAUUAUCACGCUCCUUGCGCCCACGCCCUUCAACGGCUUGCUCCAUCUCUUGCACCCACUCUCUGUGUGCUGGCGUGCCGGUCGGUGUGUCUCGGGGAGGGGCGGGGUGGGGGUGGAAGAAGCACUGCAGCAAUGAAUAGCAUGGCUGGACAGCUGCAGUUGUAAAGCAGAUGGAGGAGAGGCAGAGCGCUCACGUAGAUCCACCGAGCCAGUGGCAAGCUGUCGAUGAAACCUCGCUGUGCAUGUGCUGUGGAGAAGAAGAGAAAUCGAAAACAGCACUGGAAACUUUUACGCGCACACACGGAUGUGUUGAAGGGGUUUGGCGCCAUAGGGGAAAUACGUCGUGCUUGUCCCACAGUGGUGAGUCAACGGAUGUGGGUGUCGGUCGGCCAGUCAGCAGCAUCCGCAGCGAAGUUGAUGCCACAAGCAGACAUUCACGCCGUAAUGUGGAAACCGGGAGUAGCGUAGCUCAUCCAGGAUACGCCCCUCUGUCGUCUCUGCCGCGCAUCAUCCGCGCCCCAACACACACGCAGAGUGGGGAAGCCACUCCUUUGUUUCGCUGCUUUGUUGAGCUACCGGGAACAGGAGAAGGGAGAAGCGGCACACCGGAGUCACCUCCUCGUACGCCGCUGCGCUUUUUGUGCGUGCGCGGGCGGCAUUCAGGACAUCCAGUUUGCUCGAUGUCCUCGACGGGGUUUUCACUGAAUUAGUGUUGCCCUCUCUCGUUUCGCGCACGCAGCCGCGUCCCAUCGACAUGCUUCGUUCUCCCUGCCACUUCAAACCGAGAUCAUAACGCCGCUUUCUCUCCUCGUUCUCUGUCAG
rnacentral:misc_RNA from 1 species